rfam:Asian citrus Psyllid, Diaphorina citri - Florida Strain, whole genome shotgun sequence.
GCCUAGUUAGCUUGUUUGGUAGUGCGUCUGCCUUGUAAGCGCUAGGCCGCGGGUUCGAUUCCCGCCCGGGGCG